AGAAUAACAAAAUUACUAAAACGUUUAAUAUAAAAAUCUUAUUUAAAAUAUUAAUAACUACUUGAAAGUAUACAAAUAAUACUAAAAUAACAUUUCUAUUUGUCUCUGCACAUUAAACUGGAAUAGUGAAAGUAUUUUAUUGCAACCAUCAUCUGCCUCACCUGUAAAGACAACAUAAAAUACAUUAUGAAUUAUGAAUUAUAAUACAUUAUGCAUAAAGGCUUCAAGUUAGGUGUUACCAAAAUUAAAAAUGCUAAGUAACUUACACUUUACUAUUAAUUACUGACCAGUAUAAGAGCUGUGGUCUGUAGCGGUCAGUGUUUGCUGUGUGUUUGUGACUGUAAGGCAGAGUAUCACGAGGACCCCUGCAAACAGAGGACAGACACAGCAACAGGAAGUGCCCUGCAGGGCUAUACUGCAGAUGAAGAGGCGGUUUUUCGUGCCCGCUGGGAACAGGCUUCACAGGAGACUAUAGCCAAAACCACUCACCCCUGCUCCAAAUGCCAAGUUCUGUG